rnacentral:rRNA from 1 species
CACGAAGGACCCGAGCGUUAUCCGGAUUUAUUGGGUUUAAAGGGUGCGUAGGCGGAUUAAUAAGUCAGUGGUGAAAGCCCGUCGCUUAACGGCGGAACUGCCAUUGAUACUGUUAGUCUUGAGUAUGGUUGAGGUGGGCGGAAUGUGUCAUGUAGCGGUGAAAUGCUUAGAUAUGACCCAGAACACCAAUUGCGAAGGCAGCUCGCUAAGCCAUAACUGACGCUGAUGCACGAAAGCGUGGGGAGCAAACAGG